AUAUUGCAUUAAAUAAGCCUGGAGCUGGGCUUUUCAAAAUCAAGCUUCUUCAAACGAUAAUCUCAACUUGGACAAUCUAACCGAAAGUCGUUGACUAAAACAAAAGGCGAAUGUUCAAUGACGUUUGAUUUCUGUUGUUUAAAUAUAAACUUGAAUGUCACUUUCUGCAGACAAGCUUGAACUAUCAUCAAUCAGACAUUCGAUGAUAAAAGCGAAGAGUUUUUUGAUUGAUUGGAAUUGUUUAAUUUGCCCCUUUUUUGUUUGAUUUUAUUUUCCUGAUUCGGAAACGGAACUAUUAAUCACUAAUCAAUAACCUUCAACAAACGCUUACGUUGGCUUAAAAGUCUUGAUGAUUCACUUAUUACUAGUUUUUUUAUUAGUCAUUUGUCUAGCGAUGCAUCAUUGAAAUCAACUAACAAACUUGUAAAUAAACUAAAUGAUUGUACAAAGCACGAACGAUUAAUAAAAUUAGUUGAUUUAUACAAUGAGUAAUUGACUAAUUGCUAUUUGGUUUGUUUCUUCAAAUGAUAGUUUCAUAACGAGCAAAGAGGAUCUUAUUUGAUUUUAAGGUGUUCAAGUUGAUCUGAUGGCAAUUUAAGAUAAUCAUUGAGUAAACUUCAACUCAUCAAAAGUACUGCUACAUUGAUACUAGAUUUUUGUGAGUAAAAAAAUCAAGCGAAAAAGUGCAUAAUUUAACGAUUUAACCAUUGAAAUGUAACUUUAAUUAACAAUCAUGUUGAGCUAAAAGCUAAAAGUAAAAAAUACCUUUAAAAACUGUUCAGAAGUUUCAAUUUACACAGGGAAAUUUCCAGGGGUGAAGAGUUUUUCAACAUUGAGAAGAUGACAAAAAAUGGUUUGAUUGUUUUCAUCAAUUUUUAAGCGUUAUCAAACUUCUCUGGCCUUUUCAAGCACCUUUUCACACCCACCAAGAGCACCAAUGUUUGGAUAAUCAAUACAAUCUUAAAUACAAUGCCAAUAACCCAGUUCCAAGCACACGAUCAACUUCAAUAUUACUUAAAGCUGACAACAUAAAGACUGAAUAUAAAGCAAGCAACUUUAUUGAUAAGUAGUUGAUUCAUCUCAUUUAAAAUGGAUUCUGAACGAAAUUUGGCAUUACAUGAGCAUCGUGAUUAUUUGGUGAAAGCUAUUCGUGAUAUCAGAAAUGAAAUUGAAUUACGCAGAAAAGAAAACGAUAUUCUUGGUGGUUUCGCUGCCAAAGCUGAACUUUUAAACGCUGCAAUUGAAGAAGUAAGUAAUAUAAAUAUUCAACUGUCCAAAGAAAUUUCCAAAAGCCAAAACCAGUUUCCAGAAACCAAAGACGUUUCUAUCCAAACUGAACCGAUUGCAAAGCGACCAACUCUAUUCCAUCCAUUCGCAUACUAUCUGAGUAGUAAGGAGAAACUAUUGAAAAAGAGAUUGAAUAAUAUCAAGUUGGCCACUAACCAUAAAGGUCCUAACUGUUUGUUGGUUAAAAAAAGUGAAUUCCGUGCUUUUAUUUCCAUGAUCAUGUCAACUUGUCAAACCUACGAACGCAAACGAAAUAAAAUCCGUAAACUUUAUUACCUUCAUCGACUUCACCGCUAGUUGGACCUGAAAGUUUUUCCAAUGGAUGGAACAGCUAGAUGAAUGCAAGGAAAAUAUGUGCAAUGAAUUUAUUUCAAGCUAAGCCAUGCACUCAACUCGACGCAAGCUGUAAUGAUGGAGAAGUGAUGGAAACUUUUCUCAUUGCAAAAUGUUGAAUCAUGAAUGUAUUAACGCCUCCUAUCAAUCUUUAUGGUUUUACUUUAAACAUUGAUUUUACAAUAAAAUGAGGAUAAAUGUAAUUAAA